rnacentral:rRNA from 1 species
AGUGAACGCUGGCGGUAGGCCUAACACAUGCAAGUCGAACGGCAGCACAGUAAGAGCUUGCUCUUACGGGUGGCGAGUGGCGGACGGGUGAGGAAUACAUCGGAAUCUACUUUUUCGUGGGGGAUAACGUAGGGAAACUUACGCUAAUACCGCAUACGACCUACGGGUGAAAGCAGGGGAUCUUCGGACCUUGCGCGAUUGAAUGAGCCGAUGUCGGAUUAGCUAGUUGGCGGGGUAAAGGCCCACCAAGGCGACGAUCCGUAGCUGGUCUGAGAGGAUGUUCAGCCACACUGGAACUGAGACACGGUCCAGACUCCUACGGGAGGCAGCAGUUGGGAAUAUUGGACAAUGGGCGCAAGCCUGAUCCAGCCAUACCGCGUGGGUCAAGAAGGCCUUCGGGUUGUAAAGCCCUUUUGUUGGGAAAGAAAAGCAGCAGGUUAAUACCCCGCUGUUCUGACGGUACCCAAAGAAUAAGCACCGGCUAACUUCGUG